ensembl:lncRNA
GCCCGCUCCUCGAAGGUGUCCUCCUGUGCCCGCUCCUCCUGUGCCCGCUCCUCGAAGGUGUCGUCCUGUGCCCGCUCCUCGAAGGUGUCAUCCUGUGCCCGCUCCUCCAGUGCCCGCUCCUCGAAGGUGUCGUCCAGUGCCCGCUCCUCGAAGGUGUCGUCCAGUGCCCGCUCCUCGAAGGUGUCCCCCUGUGCCUGCUCCUCGAAGGUGUCCUCCAGUGCCCGCUCCUCAAAAAAUGCCCACCCUCCCACUCACUCCUGCCUCCUCCACCACUGUUUGUCUGGCAGCCCUAUGUGGUGCGAGCCCUGCGGGACUGCCAUCCUCCAGUGUCACUGUGGUUGGAGUCUCCCUCACCUCCGCCUCUGAGGCCCGGACUCCGCCUUGGCCUGUAGUCCUAGUGGCUCUACCUCGGCUCCUAGCUCCCUUACCUCCACUGUCAACCAUUGAUCCAUCAGCUCCACUAGGCUCCCCCUCCCUCCGGCUCCGCCUUGGUCGGGCGUCAACCCGCCAUUACCUCUGGACUCCUCUCCACUGGCUGCGCUUAGUCGCUCCGUCCCACCAGCUCCAUUGGGCUUCUUCCUCCUGCCAGCUCCACCUUGGUCCUCAGUCGCUCUGGCUCCGCUGCAGAUCUCCGCCUCAGUCGCCAGAGCCCUCAGCUCCACCCUGGCCCCCCAAAUCCUCGGCAUCCCCCUGGCUCGUUG